AGGAAGCCAGAGCACCCAAAGGGAACCCAUGCAAACACGGGGCGAACAUGCAAAGUCCACACAGAAAGGACCAAGUUGGAAGAGAAGCUGGGACCUUCUCACUGCAUUCUAAGCACUAAG